AUUGAACGCUGGCGGCAGGCCUAACACAUGCAAGUCGAGCGGAUGAGAGGAGCUUGCUCCUUGAUUCAGCGGCGGACGGGUGAGUAAUGCCUAGGAAUCUGCCUGGUAGUGGGGGACAACAGUUGGAAACGACUGCUGAUACCGCAUACGUCCUACGGGAGAAAGCAGGGGACCUUCGGGCCUUGCGCUAUCAGAUGAGCCUAGGUCGGAUUAGCUAGUUGGUGAGGUAAAGGCUCACCAAGGCGACGAUCCGUAACUGGUCUGAGAGGAUGAUCAGUCACACUGGAACUGAGACACGGUCCAGACUCCUACGGGAGGCAGCAGUGGGGAAUAUUGGACAAUGGGCGAAAGCCUGAUCCAGCCAUGCCGCGUGUGUGAAGAAGGUCUUCGGAUUGUAAAGCACUUUAAGUUGGGAGGAAGGGCAGUAAGUUAAUACCUUGCUGUUUUGACGUUACCGACAGAAUAAGCACCGGCUAACUUCGUGCCAGCAGCCGCAGUAAGAC
rnacentral:rRNA from 1 species